GUGGAUGGCUGGACGGCCGCACUUGUAAGAGUGAGGAAAGUCCGGACUCCAAAGAACAACGGCGGCGGGUAACGCCCGCCCGGGGCAACCCGAGGGAAAGCGCCACAGAGAACAGACUGCCCGCGCGUGCGCAGGUAACGGUGAAACGGUGGGGUAAGAGCCCACCGCGGUGGUGGUAACAUCACUGGCAUGGCAAGCCCCGCUGGGAGCAAGACCAAAUAGGGAUCGCGUGGGCGCAAGCCCGAGGAUGUUCUUUCCUCAGCAGAUCCGGGUUGGUUGCAAGAGCCUGUUGGCAACAACAGGCCCAGAUGAAUGGUCGUCUAGGGGCGCAAGCCUUGGACAAAAUCCGGCUUACAGGUCAUCCACGCUU
rnacentral:RNase_P_RNA from 1 species